ensembl:lncRNA
AUUGUUUAUAUUGAUUUAAAGCUUUAAAAUAUUAGCAUAGACAUUUCAAAAUAAGUAAAGUAUCUUAGUUUAAUGUUCAAAUCAAAAUUUUGUCAUAUUGGCUUUACAGACUAACCACUGCCAUGUGAUUUCAAAAAUGUUGAUCAAAAUGUUGCUUCAUGUCCCUGUGCUUGUCUGUCAGUCUGACUAAUGACAAAUAUGUUUCUGUUAUUCAGUUGAAUCCAUUAUUCAUUUUUUAAGUUGUGCCUUAACUUUGGGCACAUGCCUACUGUAAGGUCUGUUUUGGGUUGUGUUUCUUAUUCAUUGUUUUCAUGUCUUUUUAUUUUGUAGUUUGAUUUAUGCUGUUUGUGUCAUGCUUCCCUUGCACCCAUGUUUCUCUUCCUUGUUUAUGUGUCAUGUUCUCAUUGGUUAUUGUCUUGUCAUGUGAUUAUCAGUUCUGUUUGCUCAUUGGUUUGUUCUUGUCAUGUGACCCUCAUUUUCUGUUAUAAGUAGUCAUGUUAUUGCCUUGUUCUUUGUUGUGUAUUAAUGUUGUAACCUGUUGUCGGUGAGUCUAGUCUGUUCACGUCAAGUCUGUUUAUGCCUCAUCAAGUCUGUUCUAGUCAAGUCAAGUCUAGUCAAGUCUUUGUUUAUUGUUUGGAUUAUGUUUGGAUUUCUGGAUCACUUGUAAAUAAACUGCACUUGGGUUCUCACUAUGCUCGCCUUCAGUGGACUCUUUACAGAAUACAUGACCGCUACCAUGAACCCAGCAGUUUCACACCUCCUCUGCCUUCGUCAAGUUCACUUCUUACUGUGGGAGUUGUGGAUGAGGAGCCCCACAAUUGUGCUGUACCCUCUGCGCCAGACCAUUCUCACAUCCCAACUGUCAUAUCAGGAGUUGUCAACACCAUGCCUGUUACCCCAAGGCCUGUUCACAUCACGUCUGUCAAGCCAAAGCCUGCUCACAUCACGUCUGCCAAGCCACAGCCUUCUCACUUCAUGUCUGCUACGCCAAGGCCUGCUAACAUCAUGCCCGCUACUCCAGGACCUGCUCCCAACCUGCCAGUUAAGUCACAGUUUACUCAUAUCAUGUCUACUAAGUCAAAGCCUGAUCACAUCAUGUCUGCCAAGCCAGAGUCCUCUAACAUCAUGUCUGCUACCCCAGGGUUUGCUCCCGUCAUGCCUACUACGCCAAGUCCUCUUCACAUCACGUCUUCCAAGCCAGAGCCUGCUCACAUCAUGCCGGUCACUCAAGAGAUUCUUCUCAACAUGGCCGCCAUUGAAGAGCUCCGUUGUAAGAUGGCUGCCACACAAGAGUCUCUCUACAAAAUGGCCGCCCUUCUAGACUCUCGUCAUGUCUCAACCGAUCAUCCAGAGUCUCACCAUGUCACAGCUGAUCAUCCAGAGCCUUGUCACGACAUGCCCACCAUUCCAGAGCCUCGUCAUGACAUGGCCACCAUUUCUGAGUCUGCUUGCGUCAUGCCUGCCAAGCCAGAGCCUUCACACAAGAUGACCACCAUGCCUGAGUCCCCGGCCAAGAUGGCCGCCAUGCCUGAGUCUCCGGCCAAGCCUGAGUCUCGCCAUGUUAUGGCUGUCACAGAGACUGUUCCCAUGACCUCAGUGCUUCCAGUAAUGGCAGUCGCCAUUUUGAGCUUGUGGGCUGCACACUGCGCUCCAGAGACCUCUCCUGUCCACGAGUCUACUCCUGAGGCCGCUCCUGGCAGUGAAUUCACUCCAGUGCCCCCAGAGGCGGCAGUGUCCACUGCAGAACCUCCAGAGGAGGCGGCUUCUGCUGCAGAACCUCCCGAGGUGGUGGCACCCACCUUUGAACUCUCUGCCUGUCCUGUCACGGCCAAGGAGGCCGUCCACAAUCUCUCUGCCUGUCCUGUCAUGACCAAGGAGGCCGUCCACGAACUCUCUGCCUGUCCUGUCACGGCCAAGGAGGCCAUCCACAAACUCACUACCUGUCCUGUCACGGCCAUGGAGGCUGCUCAUGAACUCACUGCCUGUCCUGCCAUGGCCAUGGAGGCCGCUCACAAACUCACUGCCUGUCCCGCAACGGCCAUGGAGGUCGCUCAUGAACUCACUAUCUGUCCUGUCACGGCCAAGUAGUCUGUCCAUGUCUCUGCUCUGUGGGCACCGCCUGACCACCCCGCUCUACCUGCACCGCCAUGGCUCCAUACUGCUCUGGAUCUGCUCCACGGCCCAGGUCCCCCUCUGCUCCAUUGUCUGUCAUUGCCUAAUGAUCCUGAUCCACCACUGCUCCUAGCUCCAGGCCCAUCAUUGCUCCACAUUCCAGGUCCUGUUCCUCUUCAUGGGCCUGGCCCUCCAUCCCGCCCCCUGUUCCGCCUCCACUCCACCACCCUUCUGAAUUUCUUGGGUUUUGUUUCUUGUUCAUUGUUUUCAUGUCUUUAUUUUGUAGUUUGAUUUAUGCUGUUUUUGUCAUGCUUCCCUUGCCCUGAUGUAUCUCUGCCUUGUGUAUGUGUCAUGUUCUCUUUGGUUAUUGUCUUGUCAUAUGAUUAUCAGUUCUGUUUGCUCAUUGGUUUGUUCAUGUCAUGUGACCCUCAUUGUCUGUUAUAAGUAGUCAUGUUAUUGCCUUGUUCUGUCAUGUAUUAAUGUUGUAACCUGCUGUCGGUGAGUCUAGUCUGUUCAUGUCACAUCAAGUCUUUUAACGUCAAGUCUGUUUAUGCCUCCUCAAGUUCUAGUCAAGUUUUGUUUAUUGUUUGGAUUAUGUUUGGAUUUCUGGAUCACUUGUAAAUAAACUGCACUUGGGUUCUCACUAUGCUCGCCGUCAGUGGACUCUUUACACCUACACACAUUUGCAAUAACUCUUAGCUGUUCAGCUACAAGUAAUUACAGUUCCCAAGUUAUUUAAUUGUUUAAAGUAUGCAGUACUACUGCCCGCUAUAUGCAGAGUAUGCAGUCUAUGUAGGGCACAAACUACCAAGGAGGAACCAUUUCAUGCCCUGGGGGCAUCAAACAGAAGAGAUUUUACAAGAGAAGAUCCAUGCCAACCAGUGCACCCUUGACUAUUGGCUACCCUG